CGACGCUGCACCCUCACGCCGCCGCCAUCGCUCUAUCCAGCGCCAUCAGCCAUCGCGACGUCGCCUCCUCUCUCUCGCAUCGCUCCAUCGCCCUAUCCAGCGCCAUCCGCCAUCGAGACGCCGCCACGCCAACAACGCCCAUCCCUCUCCCGUCGGCCAGCGUCACCAACGUCGUCGAUCUCCUCCGCGCCUCCGCCCGAGCCGAUCUCUCCCGUCCGCAUCGCCACCGACGGUCGCUCACCGAUCUGCUCCGCUAGCGUUGAUCUCUCCCGUCCGCAUCGUCACCGGUGGCCACCUUUGCCGAUCUCCUCUGUGCCCAAGGACAGAGUGAAAUUGCUAACCAGCUUGUGGGGUAACUACUCCAUUCCAAAAGACAACCCAUACACUGAUGACAGUGACUUAGAACUAGAAGUUUGGGCAUUGGGUCUUAGAAACCCGUGGAGAUGCAGCUUUGAUUCCGCGAGGCCUUCCUACUUCUACCGUGCCGAUGUUGGUCAGCGGCUAAUAUCGAUUGAUCAAUUGAGGCGCGGCCCGUGCUGCCAAAGUGAAUCGUUCCAGAUCAUCUGGUACUAUAUGUGAACUGGAAAUUUAUUUUGUAAACUUUCACCGCCAUUAGCUUGAGGUAGAUGACACCAAGCUGAAGCAUGUUGGACAUUUUUGGUCAGCUUAAGUACUUGGAUCAUUUAAUUGGCUGAAAUGCACAUGUAAAUUUGUUUCCCAGAUCCAGAUCCAUUAAGUUUAUAGUACUUUCUGAUCGGCGAGAAGACCUUGGUGACUGGGUGAGCGACAAAGCCACCUGCAGACUCAACUUAUGUCUUUGCUUUGUAUGUUCUACUGAGGGAAAGAAGAUGCAAGGUCUCUUAGGGUUUAGGGUUAGGUGAUCAAAUUCUCUUGGGCCAGGUGAUCAAAUGAAAAAGGGAAAUGCUUUAAGACUGAAGUUCUAUCGUAAACCAGAUAUAGAUCAAAUAUUAGAUGCUAUGGACUUCUAUGUCUAUGCCUGAUUGUGAAGUUGUACAAUAGGCUUGCAUUGUUUAAAAUCAAAAGAUAGAAAAGUCACGAUGUUAUUUUACUCACAUCGCUAUGUAAUUAACAAUAUAAUA